AGUGGCCUGCACAGGCGGAAAGGUGCAAUGGAGCCUGUCGGACGGAGCGUCUCUGCAGCGCUGCGGCUUCCACGACGAUUGUGGGUCGCGCAAAGCCCCCGUUGUCCGCUCUUUUAAAGCCUCGGUGAGAGCCGAGCAGUCACAGAGUGUGUGUUCACAAAGGGUCACCACACGCGGGGCUGCCCCCUCUCUGUCUCCCUAAACCCCAUCUUCGAGGCCAGGGGCUUUUCUGCCAGGAUUCUGGGGGUGUUUCUCCUCCUUUCCUCCCUCCCAGAUCUUCUAACGAGACACCCAAAUGCUUAUCUCCAAAGAUGGAAGAGGAAGAUUAAAACAAUAAUUUGCAGAAAAGCCCUGCCUUUCCAGAGAUCUAAAGUGUAAUGAAACCGUAUGCUGUUGAGGGGCUCGAAUCUUGGCUGUCUUCGCCCCUCUGCACUAGCGGAUACCCCAAUUUUCAGGGGACGUGAUCUCAUACUGUCGCCCUCACUUUUGAAG